rnacentral:lncRNA from 1 species
AUGAAAUGCAAGUUUUCUUCUGCAGUUCUAUCAACAUCUAAUAUUAGAGGAAAAAGCCUUACUGGGCAGCACAGCUGGAAGAGACAAAGAGAUCAGCAGCUCUAUGUGACCUGGUUGAAUCGCCAGAGACGGUGCUCCAAAUGCACCAACCCAUGGACCAGCACAGCCAGAUCACAGAAUCACAAUCACAGAAUCACAGAAUUACAGAAUCACAGAAUUACAGAAUCACAAUCACAGAAUCACAGAAUCACAGAAUCACAAUCACAGAAUCACAAUCACAGAAUCACAGAAUCACAGAAUCACAAUCACAGAAUCACAAUCACAGAAUCACAGAAUCACAGAAUCACAAUCACAGAAUCACAAUCACAGAAUCACAGAAUCACAGAAUCACAAUCACAGAAUCACAAUCACAGAAUCACAGAAUCACAGAAUCACAAUCACAGAAUCACAAUCACAGAAUCACAGAAUCACAGAAUCACAAUCACAGAAUCACAAUCACAGAAUCACAGAAUCACAGAAUCACAAUCACAGAAUCACAAUCACAGAAUCACAGAAUCACAGAAUCACAAUCACAGAAUCACAAUCACAGAAUCACAGAAUCACAGAAUCACAAUCACAGAAUCACAAUCACAGAAUCACAGAAUCACAGAAUCACAAUCACAGAAUCACAAUCACAGAAUCACAGAAUCACAGAAUCACAAUCACAGAAUCACAAUCACAGAAUCACAGAAUCACAGAAUCACAAUCACAGAAUCACAAUCACAGAAUCACAGAAUCACAGAAUCACAAUCACAGAAUCACAAUCACAGAAUCACAGAAUCACAGAAUCACAAUCACAGAAUCACAAUCACAGAAUCACAGAAUCACAGAAUCACAAUCACAGAAUCACAAUCACAGAAUCACAGAAUCACAGAAUCACAAUCACAGAAUCACAAUCACAGAAUCACAGAAUCACAGAAUCACAAUCACUCUGUAAAAAAUUUUUCCCUAUAUCUCCCUUGGUGCAGCUUGAGACUGUGUCCUCUGGUUCUGUCAGUGCUGCCUGCAGAAAGAGACCGACCCCACCUGAGCACAGCCACCUUUCAGGGAGCUGUAGAGAGUGUAAGGUCACUCUGAGUCUCCUUUUCUCCAGGCUGAACAACCCCAGCUGCC